AUAAGUAAUUCUAAAGAAAACACAAUCCUCAAAAAAGAAAAAGAAAACACAAUCCUCAAUUAUUUUUUUUUUCCUGGUGCUGGGAAUCAAACCCAGGGUCUCCAUAUAUAAGGCAAGGACUCUACUGCUGAGCCACACCAGAUAACAUAUUCCAGGGAAACCCCAAAUUACAGCAAAAAGGGGAUUCUUUUUGCCAUAAGAAUUAGUAUAAUUAAUUAUAUAUAAUUUAUUAAUUAUAAAUAAUAAUAAAUAAUAUAUUAACUGCUGGGCAGUGGUGCACACCAGUGAUCCCAGCUACUUGGGACGUUGAGGCAGGAAGAUGGACGUUUCAGGCCAGCCAGGUCAACUUAGGAGACUGUGCCUCAAAAUAAAAUGUUAAAAAAGGGUUGGGAGCCAGGCGCAGUGGUGCAUGACUGUCAUCCCAGCCACUUGGGGGCUGGAGGAUCAUGAGUUCAAAGCCAGCCUCAGCAAAAGCAAGGCGCUAAGCAACUCUGUGUGACCCUGUCUCAAAAUAAAAUACAAAAAUAAGGCUGGGGAUGUGACUCAGUGGUCAAGUAUCCCUAAAUUCAGUCCUCUGUACGAAAAAAAAAAAAAAUGGGGGAGGGCUGGGGAUAUAACUCUGUGGUUAGAGCACUUGUCUAGCAUGUGUAGGGCCCUGGGUUCCAUCCCCAAUAUAGAAGAAAGAAUAUAUAUAUAAUAUGUUUGUGUAUGGACAUAUACACAGACACAUAUAUAUUUGUUUGGUUUGUUUUGUUUUUGAUACCAGGGAUGGAUUGAACUCAGGGGCACUUAACCACUGAGUCACAUCCCCAGCCCUUUUAUUUUUUAUUUUGAGACAUGGUCUCAGUUAAGUUGCUGAGGACCUCACUAAAAUGCUGAGGCUGGCCUCAAACUUGGCAAUCCUCCUGCCUCAGCCUCCUCAGUCACUGAGAUUACAGGCAGGAGUGCACCCAGGGCCCAAUAACCCUAAGCUAUUUUAAUCACACAAUAAAAUGUUGGGGGCUGAGGGUGUAGCUCAGUGGUAGAGCACAUGCCUACCAUGAGUGAGUCUCU
rnacentral:lncRNA from 1 species